rnacentral:rRNA from 1 species
UACAGAGGCCCCAAGCGUUACUGAGAAUCACUGGUUUAAAGGGUGCGUAGGUGGUCCGUUAAGUUCGUUGUGAAAGCCCUGGGCUCAACCCAGGAACUGCUUCGAAUACUGGCGGACUUGAGGCUAGUAGGGGUCACUGGAACUGACGGUGGAGCGGUGAAAUGCGUAGAUAUCGUCAGGAACGCCAAUGGUGAAGACAGGUGACUGGGCUAGUUCUGACACUGAGGCACGAAAGCGUGGGGAGCGAACGGG